AACGAACGCUGGCGGCAGGCCUAACACAUGCAAGUCGAACGGGAUCUUCGGAUCUAGUGGCGGACGGGUGAGUAACGCGUGGGAACGUGCCCUUUGGUUCGGAAUAGCCCCGGGAAACUGGGAGUCAUACCGGAUAAGCCCUACGGGGGAAAGAUUUAUCGCCAAAGGAUCGGCCCGCGUUGGAUUAGGUAGUUGGUGAGGUAAUGGCUCACCAAGCCGACGAUCCAUAGCUGGUUUGAGAGGAUGAUCAGCCACACUGGGACUGAGACACGGCCCAGACUCCUACAGGAGGCAGCAGUGGGUAAUCUUAGACAAUGGGGGAAACCCUGAUCUAGCCAUGCCGCGUGAUCGAUGAAGGCCUUAGGGUUGUAAAGAUCUUUCAGUGGGGAAGAUAAUGACUGUACCCACAGAAGAAGCCCCGGCUAACUCCGUGCCAGCCGCCGCGGUAA
rnacentral:rRNA from 1 species